rnacentral:rRNA from 1 species
GACGAACGCUGGCGGCGUGCUUAACACAUGCAAGUCGAACGGUGACCCAGGGCUUGCCCUGGUGAUCAGUGGCGAACGGGUGAGUAACACGUGGGGCAACCUGCCCCUGACUUCGGGAUAACUCCUCGAAGAGGAGCUAAUACCGGAUACGACCACUUCGGACAUCCGAUGGUGGUGGAAAGUUUUUCGGUCAGGGAUGGGCCCGCGGCCUAUCAGCUAGUUGGUGGGGUAAUGGCCUACCAAGGCGACGACGGGUAGCCGGCCUGAGAGGGCGACCGGCCACACUGGGACUGAGACACGGCCCAGACUCCUACGGGAGGCAACAGUGGGGAAUAUUGCGCAAUGGGCGAAAGCCUGACGCAGCGACGCCGCGUGAGGGAUGAAGGCCUUCGGGUUGUAAACCUACUUCUAGCAGGACGAAGCGAAAGUGACGGUAC